UUUCCGUAGGUGAACCUGCGGAAGGAUCAUUAUUGUAUAACCGAGGUGCGAGGGCCGUCGCUGACCCGAAAGGUCGUGCACGCCCGAGUGCCCUCACACACAUCCAUCUCACCCCUAUGUGCACCACCGCGUGGGUCCCCCUUUGGCUUGUUCGGAGGGGGGCUUACGUUUUCACACAAACUUUGUAUGCAGUGUAGAAUGAAUUUUUUGUUUUUGCGAUCACGCAAUCAAUACAACUUUCAACAACGGAUCUCUUGGCUCUC
rnacentral:misc_RNA from 1 species